rnacentral:rRNA from 1 species
CGGUGAAUACGUUCCCGGGCCUUGUACACACCGCCCGUCACACCACGAAAGUCGGCAACACCCGAAGCCGGUGGCCCAACCCUUUUUGGGGGGGAGCCGUCGAAGGUGGGGUUGGCGAUUGGGGUG